CCCCUGAAUUGGGGAUAACUCCGCGAAAGCGGGCUAAUACCGAAUGAUAUUCCGACUCUUACGGGAGUAGGAAUCAAAGAUGGCCUCUGCAUGCAAGCUAUCGUUUAAGGAUGGGCCCGCGUACCAUUAGCUAGUUGGUAAGGUAAUGGCUUACCAAGGCUACGAUGGUUAGCUGGUCUGAGAGGAUGGCCCAGCCACACUGGAACUGAGACACGGUCCAGACUCCUACGGGAGGCAGCAGUGGGGAAUCUUGCGCAAUGGGGGAAACCCUGACGCAGCAACGCCGCGUGGGUGAUGAAGGCUUUCGGGUCGUAAAGCCCUGUCAGGUGGGAAGAACUGCAUCGGUGCGAAUAUCACCGAUGCUUGACGGUACCGCCGGAGGAAGCACCGGCUAACUCCGUGCCAGCAGCCGCGGUAAUACGGAGGGUGCAAGCGUUGUUCGGAAUUAUUGGGCGUAAAGCGCGUGUAGGCGGUCGGGUAAGUCAGAUGUGAAAGCCUUCCGCUCAACGGAAGAAGUGCAUUUGAAACUACUCGGCUGGAGUACGGGAGAGGAGAGUGGAAUUCCCGGUGUAGAGGUGAAAUUCGUAGAUAUCGGGAGGAACACCAGUGGCGAAGGCGGCUCUCUGGUCCGAUACUGACGCUGAGACGCGAAAGCGUGGGGAGCAAACAGGAUUAGAUACCCUGGUAGUCCACGCCGUAAACGAUGGGCACUAGGUGUAGGAGGUAUUGACCCCUUCUGUGCCGAAGCUAACGCAUUAAGU
rnacentral:rRNA from 1 species